rnacentral:misc_RNA from 1 species
UACGAGUGCCCCAAGCGUUAUCCGGAAUUACUGGGCGUAAAGGGUCCGCAGGCGGCUCUGUUAGUCCAAUGUUAAAUCACGAGGCUUAACCUCGUGGCUGCGUUGGAAACGGCAGAGCUAGAGGGUAUGAGAGGUGAGUGGAACCGACAGUGUAGGGGUGAAAUCCGUUGAUAUUGUCGGGAACACCAAAAGCGAAGGCAACUCACUGGCACACUCCUGACGCUCAUGGACGAAAGCUAAGGUAGCGAACGGG